NNNANGNNGNNAUGUAGCUUGCUCCCUGAUGUUAGCGGCGGACGGGUGAGUAACACGUGGGUAACCUGCCUGUAAGACUGGGAUAACUCCGGGAAACCGGAGCUAAUACCGGAUAGUUCCUUGAACCGCAUGGUUCAAGGAUGAAAGACGGUUUCGGCUGUCACUUACAGAUGGACCCGCGGCGCAUUAGCUAGUUGGUGGGGUAAUGGCUCACCAAGGCGACGAUGCGUAGCCGACCUGAGAGGGUGAUCGGCCACACUGGGACUGAGACACGGCCCAGACUCCUACGGGAGGCAGCAGUAGGGAAUCUUCCGCAAUGGACGAAAGUCUGACGGAGCAACGCCGCGUGAGUGAUGAAGGUUUUCGGAUCGUAAAGCUCUGUUGUUAGGGAAGAACAAGUGCGAGAGUAACUGCUCGCACCUUGACGGUACCUAACCAGAAAGCCACGGCUAACUACGUGCCAGCAGCCGCGGAAUUACGUAGGA
rnacentral:rRNA from 1 species